AGAGUUUGAUCCUGGCUCAGGACGAACGCUGGCGGCGUGCCUAAUACAUGCAAGUCGAGCGGACGAAUCGAAAGCUUGCUUUUGAUUCGUUAGCGGCGGACGGGUGAGUAACACGUGGGCAACCUGCCCUGUAGACGGGGAUAACACCGAGAAAUCGGUGCUAAUACCGGAUAACACGAAAUGUCGCAUGACGUUUCGUUGAAAGACGGCGCAAGCUGUCGCUACAGGAUGGGCCCGCGGCGCAUUAGCUAGUUGGUGAGGUAACGGCUCACCAAGGCGACGAUGCGUAGCCGACCUGAGAGGGUGAUCGGCCACACUGGGACUGAGACACGGCCCAGACUCCUACGGGAGGCAGCAGUAGGGAAUCUUCCGCAAUGGACGAAAGUCUGACGGAGCAACGCCGCGUGAGCGAAGAAGGCCUUCGGGUCGUAAAGCUCUGUUGUUAGGGAAGAACAAGUAACGCAGUAACUGGCGUUACCGUGACGGUACCUAACGAGAAAGCCACGGCUAACUACGUGCCAGCAGCCGCGGU
rnacentral:rRNA from 1 species